CCCUGGCUCAGACGAACGCUGGCGGCGUGCCUAAUACAUGCAAGUCGAGCGGAUCUUGUCCUUCGGGACAAGAUUAGCGGCGGACGGGUGAGUAACACGUGGGUAACCUGCCUGUAAGACUGGGAUAACAUUCGGAAACGAAUGCUAAUACCGGAUACGCGGUUUGGUCGCAUGACCGGACCGGGAAAGAUGGAGCAAUCUAUCACUUACAGAUGGACCCGCGGCGCAUUAGCUAGUUGGUGAGGUAACGGCUCACCAAGGCGACGAUGCGUAGCCGACCUGAGAGGGUGAUCGGCCACACUGGGACUGAGACACGGCCCAGACUCCUACGGGAGGCAGCAGUAGGGAAUCUUCCGCAAUGGACGAAAGUCUGACGGAGCAACGCCGCGUGAGUGAUGAAGGUUUUCGGAUCGUAAAGCUCUGUUGCCAGGGAAGAAUGCUUGGGAGAGUAACUGCUCCCAAGGUGACGGUACCUGAGAAGAAAGCCCCGGCU
rnacentral:rRNA from 1 species